UUAAUUGAAGCCAAAAAGAGGCAUAUCACUGUUAAUGAUAUAAUUGAGGCCUAUUCCUCCAAUUAAA
rnacentral:tRNA from 1 species